GUUUUUAGCUAUAUUCUAACACCUUUCUGUUGUGCUUUUUUAUGUUUGUUUGUUUGUUUCUUUGUUUCCUAGUGGGUUUUCCUAGCUGGAGCGUUUAUAUUUGGACUGGAGUAAGUGUGUUUGCAGUGUUGGUGAUUGUCAUUGUCCUCAUUGUGCUUUGGAAGAGACAAAGGUCAGGAUAUGUUCUUAGUGGUCAAGGUUCUGCUGAAAAGAUUGUUUGAUUGUGGUAUGUAGCAUCAUUGGUAUUUUAUAAAAUACUGCUGUUAUGAUGUAAAAUAGUUCAAAUCAUUAUCCUUGAUCUUAUCUUUUGAAAUGUGCCACAUUAUAUUAGGCAGUGAAUUACAGUACAAACAGCGGGGAGUACCACUAAAAGCAUUUCCCUUUCCUUUUUAUUUAACCACAGGAGAAGUUACAUCUUUGCACCUGGGCGUUCUUCAGUCAUUCACUAUGCUCUUAUCUUUUAUAUAACAAGGUCAUAACCAUGUCGUGAACAUUAGAGAAGUGGCUAGGCUAAUUUUUAGUUUAAGGAAUUUGUAAGGAAUUACAUAAUUAAAGGGUUUAAAGGGAUUUAAGGGAAUAAAGAAAAAUGAAGAUCAGUAUAAUAAGUAGAAUUUAUUCACGCUACACUUAGCAUUUUUUGAUUUUGUGUUUGUCUUGUUGACUAAACUGAUCAUGACUUAACUAACCGAAAUGAAGCUAUAUGAUGAAAUAAUGAUAUUAUGUAAUUAUAUAUUAUAGAACUAUAUAUUUAUAUUUAUUUAUACUAUAUAUUUUGUCUGUUAUGCAAACGGGCACAUUUAGUAAGUAAAACUAUAAAUAAAUAACUAAAUUAUAAUGUAACUUCAUAUAUGUAACUUAUAGUAUAACUAUUGAUAUUAUCUAUCACUGGUCCAGUCAGUCUGUGGGAAAGAACUUGGUGGAUUGCAUGGCAUUAUAGUGAGCAUAAAAUGUGUGUGAACAUAAAGUAACUGUACGUCCAGGGCAAGUAUUUCCUGUAAACUGCUGCUGUGGAAGCAAAAUGAAUGAAAUGCUGUGCCAGUGAGUACACACAUCUAAUACAUUACUAAUGAAAUCCACUCAGCACCUGCCACUGCUUCAGAUCCGGCCUCAAAUAUUAACGCUUGUUAAAAAAAAACACACAAUAAACUAAUGUAGUAAAUCUCCAAUAAUGAUCUACAUGUAUUAAUUUACUUUACAGGUGGG
rnacentral:lncRNA from 1 species